rnacentral:rRNA from 1 species
CAGUCGAACGGUGAUAGGAGCUUGCUCCUUGGAUCAGUGGCGAACGGGUGAGUAACACGUGAGCAAUCUGCCCUUGACUCUGGGAUAACUGCGGGAAACUGUAGCUAAUACCGGAUAUUACCUUGGAAGGCAUCUUCUGGGGUGGAAAGAAUUUUGGUCAAGGAUGAGCUCGCGGCCUAUCAGCUAGUUGGUGAGGUAAUGGCUCACCAAGGCGACGACGGGUAGCCGGCCUGAGAGGGUGACCGGCCACACUGGGACUGAGACACGGCCCAAACUCCUACGGGAGGCAGCAGUGGGGAAUAUUGCACAAUGGGCGCAAGCCUGAUGCAGCAACGCCGCGUGAGGGACGACGGCCUUCGGGUUGUAAACCUCUUUUAGUAGGGAAGAAGCGACUGGGUUUUCCUGGGAGUGACGGUACCUGCAGAAAAAGCACCGGCUAACUACGUGCCAGCAGCCGCGGUAAUACGUAGGGUGCAAGCGUUGUCCGGAAUUAUUGGGCGUAAAGAGCUCGUAGGCGGUUUGUCGCGUCUGCUGUGAAAACCCGAGGCUCAACCUCGGGCCUGCAGUGGGUACGGGCAGACUAGAGUGCGGUAGGGGAGAUUGGAAUUCCUGGUGUAGCGGUGGAAUGCGCAGAUAUCAGGAGGAACACCAAUGGCGAAGGCAGAUCUC